rnacentral:rRNA from 1 species
AUACAGAGGGUGCGAGCGUUAAUCGGAAUUACUGGGCGUAAAGCGCGCGUAGGCGGCUUAUUAAGUCAGAUGUGAAAUCCCCGGGCUCAACCUUGGAACUGCAUCUGAUACUGGUAAGCUAGAGUUUGGGAGAGGGAAGUAGAAUUUCAGGUGUAGCGGUGAAAUGCAUAGAGAUCUGAAGGAAUACCAGUGGCGAAGGCGACUUCCUGGCCUAAAACUGACGCUGAGGUGCGAAAGCGUGGGUAGCAAACGGGAUUAGAAACCCCAGUAGUCC